UACGCAGGGGGCUAGCGUUGUCCGGAAUUACUGGGCGUAAAGCGCACGUAGGCGGUCCGAUCAGUCAGGGGUGAAAUCCCAGAGCUCAACUCUGGAACUGCCUUUGAUACUGUCGAUCUAGAGUAUGGAAGAGGUGAGUGGAAUUCCGAGUGUAGAGGUGAAAUUCGUAGAUAUUCGGAGGAACACCAGUGGCGAAGGCGGCUCACUGGUCCAUUACUGACGCUGAGGUGCGAAAGCGUGGGGAGCAAACAGA
rnacentral:rRNA from 1 species